GGUGAACGCUGGCGGCGGGCCUAAUACAUGCAAGUCGAGCGAACGGAUGGUGAGCGUGCGCCUCUGACGGUGGCGGCUGACGGGUGAGUGACACGUGGAUAACCUACCUAUAAUACUUGGAUGACUUCGUGGGACCGCAUCUAAUACCGCAUAAUAUAUUCAACCGGUUGGAUCAGUGGUUAUUGGCGGUUUUGCUGUCUGUUUUAGAUGAUUCCGCGCCGCAUUAGCUACUUGGUAAGGUAACGGCUUACCAAGGCUACGAUGCGUAGCUGACCGGAGAGGAUGAUCGGCCACACUGGAACUGAGACACGGUCCAGACUCCUACGGGAGGCAGCAGUAGGGAAUAUUGCGCAAUGGGCGAAAGCCUGACGCAGCAACGCCGCGUGAGUGAUGAAGGCCUUCGGAUCGUAAAGCCCUGUUAUUAGGAAAGAAAAAAUGUGUAAGAAACCCUGCCCGUCCUGACGGUACCUAAACAGAAAGCCCCGGCUAACUACGUG
rnacentral:rRNA from 1 species